CUUAGGAGAGCCUUUGAGACAUUCUAAAGAGGAGGGCAUGGUAAAUUGUGCAUUCUAGAACAUAGCGAGUGUGACAGACAGCAGAAUGGAAAAGAAUCCGGGCCAGACACAAGGAGACCAGAUAACAGGCUCUUAUAGGAGCCCAGGAGAAAGAUAAUGGCAGUUUACCAGAAUUCUCUAUGAACCAUCAUUUGCAGCAAGUACACUAAAUGUGGACACUCAUGAGGCAGCAGACACCAUGAGACCCUGAGCUUUAUUGAGGCAUAUUUGAUGCACCCAAAAAAAUCUGUACAUAAUUUAUAAAGUUUGAUGAGCUUGGACAUACAUGUAUCCUCUUGAUAUCAUCAUCAUAAUCAGGGUAAUAAAUAUACUCAUUACUUCCAAAAGGUUCCUUGUGUCCC
rnacentral:lncRNA from 1 species